AACGAACGCUGGCGGCAUGCCUAACACAUGCAAGUCGAACGAUGCAUUCGGGUCUAGUGGCGAACGGGUGCGUAACGCGUGGGAACCUGCCCUUAGGUUCGGAAUAACUCCCCGAUAGGGGUGCUAAUACCGGAUAAUGACCUCGGACCAAAGCUUUAUCGCCUUUGGAUGGGCCCGCGUUGGAUUAGCUAGUUGGUAGGGUAAAGGCCUACCAAGGCGACGAUCCAUAGCUGGUCUGAGAGGAUGAUCAGCCACACUGGGACUGAGACACGGCCCAGACUCCGACGGGAGGCAGCAGUGGGGAGUAUUGGACAAGGGGCGAAAGCCUGAUCCAGCAAUGCCGCGUGAGUGAUGAAGGCCUUAGUGUUGUAAAGCUCUUUUACCCGGGAUGAUAAUGACAGUACCGGGAGAAUAAGCUCCGGCUAACUCCGUG
rnacentral:rRNA from 1 species